rnacentral:rRNA from 1 species
AGAGGACCGGGAUGGACGUACCUCUGGUGUACCAGUUGUCCUGCCAAGGGCAUGGCUGGGUAGCUAUGUACGGAAUGGAUAAGCGCUGAAAGCAUCUAAGCGCGAAGCCAACUUCAAGAUAAGAUUUCCCACCGCAAGGGUAAGACUCCAGAAAGACUAUCUGGUUGAUAGGUCGAAGGUGUAAGUGCAGCAAUGUAUUUAGCUUAUCGAUACUAAUAGGUCGAGGACUUGACCAAU